rnacentral:tRNA from 1 species
GGCGGGGUAGCUCAGUUGGUUAGAGCGUGCGACUCAUAAUCGUAAGGUCGAGAGUUCGAGCCUCUCCCCCGCUA